rnacentral:rRNA from 2 species
AAGUAAGUGUUUAAGGGCGCAU